AAAAUGCAAUCUCCACAGAUAACAAACACAGUGGCAUAAAUUAGCACAAGCUUAAAAGGUGUGGGCUGUCGUCAUUCACUGAUGAGACUACAGAGACGGAAUAACUGAAGCUCACUGGCAUUUCAUUGGCUCAAGAGAGGACUGUCAGUCUUGCCUACAGCACCUGCGCGCGCCUAAAUGAGAGGCGCUUGACGGCUGCGCGUGAACUCACAAAACCCUUCUGGAUAUCCGGUCGUCUUCAGCCACCCGAGGCAGGAUGGAAGAAGCAGAACUCUUAAAGCAGCGCCUUCAAGCUAUUACGAAUAAGAAAAAAAUCCAAGAAGAAAUUGCCCACAAACGGCUUGAGAUUGACAGAGAGAAACUAAAGCUUCAACAUGUCAAGAAAAGAUCCACGAGAGAUCUGUGGCUCAUGGAUGGGAUGAACAGCAGUAAUGCUCAGGAAACACAAAAAGCUCUUGAAGAUGCACAACAAACUAAGCAACUCAAGAGCACCAUACAUCGGAUAGAGAAAGAGAUUGAAGCGUUGGAGAGAGAGGAAAUGAACAUCUCAACAAAUGAGGGGCUGAUUCUAAAGAGGCUCAAAGCCAUUGAAAAGUCUCCAGAGGACAUCAUUAAGGCAGUAAAUGCAGAUUUCACAUCAGAGCCGAUCUAUAUUCAUUCAACAAUUCCAAACAUGCGAAAGCCCAGCACACCCCUGAUAAACCAGAGGAAGAAACAAGACCUUGAAACUGAAGCAAAAACCGACCAAGCCAAACCUGGUAAACUGAAAGAAGACUACAGACUGUUUUCAAUAUUUUAUAUAAUGUAGAACAGCAAAAUAAAUAUUUUAUACAGGCUUUUCCA
ensembl:lncRNA